GCCCGGAUGGUGGAAUUGGCAGACACGCUAGCUUCAGGUGCUAGUAAUCGCAAGAUUGUGCAGGUUCAAGUCCUGUUCCGGGUA
rnacentral:tRNA from 1 species